GGUUGCAAGAUGGGGUGAGACUCAUCAUGCUUUGUUUAUUUGAUCUGUACAGAGAUGUCCCACUUUGUGUCCAAUGGUGACGGACUGGUGGUGACUGUGGACAGUGAAUCUGGGGAUGUCCUGUGGAUCCAAAACUACGCCUCCCCUGUGGUGGCCUUUUAUGUCUGGCAGCGGGAGGGUCUGAGGAAGGUGAUGCACAUCAAUGUCGCUGUGGAGACCCUGCGCUAUCUGACCUUCAUGUCUGGGGAGGUGGGGCGCAUCACCAAGUGGAAGUACCCGUUCCCCAAAGAGACAGAGGCCAAGAGCAAGCUGACGCCCACUCUGUAUGUCGGGAAAUACUCUACCAGCCUCUAUGCCUCUCCCUCAAUGGUACACGAGGGGGUUGCUGUCGUGCCCCGCGGCAGCACACUUCCUUUGCUGGAAGGGCCCCAGACUGAUGGCGUCACCAUUGGGGACAAGGGGGAGUGUGUGAUCACGCCCAGCACAGACGUCAAGUUUGACCCCGGACUCAAAAGCAAGAACAAGCUCAACUACUUGAGGAAUUACUGGCUUCUGAUAGGACACCAUGAAA
rnacentral:sRNA from 1 species